UACAGAGGGGGCAAGCGUUGUUCGGAAUUACUGGGCGUAAAGGGCGCGUAGGCGGCCUUCUAAGUCGAACGUGAAAUCCCCGGGCUCAACCCGGGAACUGCGUCCGAUACUGGAAGGCUUGAAUCCGGGAGAGGGAUGCGGAAUUCCAGGUGUAGCGGUGAAAUGCGUAGAUAUCUGGAUGAACACCGGUGGCGAAGGCGGCAUCCUGGACCGGCAUUGACGCUGAGGCGCGAAAGCCAGGGGAGCAAACAGG
rnacentral:rRNA from 1 species